GACAGAGGGGGCAAGCGUUGCUCGGAAUUACUGGGCGUAAAGGGCCAGUAGGCGGCCUGCUAAGUCCGACGUGAAAUCCCCAGGCUUAACCUGGGAACUGCGUCGGAUACUGGCGGGCUUGAAUUCGGGAGAGGGAUGCAGAAUUCCAGGUGUAGCGGUGAAAUGCGUAGAUAUCGGGAGGAACACCCGUGGCGAAGGCGGCUCUCUGGCCUGUAACUGACGCUGAGGCGCGAAAGCGUGGGGAGCAAACAGG
rnacentral:rRNA from 1 species